AUAUUUGUGGAGAGCACAGGCACGGAACGGAAAGCCGCGUGCAAGCGAAGGAGGAGUCACAUAGGAAAAACCGUGUGGCAAUCCAGAGGCGUGAUGCGGACCGAACUAAAGUAGGGAAGUGUGUGAGCCAUGUAUCAAGAAAAGCCGCUAUUGUUUUUAAGAUACCCGUACCGUAAACCGACACAGGUGGAUGAGGAGAGAAUCCUAAGGCCGGCGGAAGAAGCAUUGUUAAGGAACUCGGCAAAAUGACCCCGUAACUUCGGGAGAAGGGGUGCCAACGAGAGUUGGCCGCAGAGAAUAGGCUCAAGCAACUGUUUAGCAAAAACACAGGUCUAUGCAAAACCGUAAGGUGAGGUAUAUGGGCUGACGCCUGCCCGGUGCUGGAAGGUUAAGAGGAGAGGUUAGCGUAAGCGAAGCUUUGAAUUUAAGCCCCAGUAAACGGCGGCCGUAACUAUAACGGUCCUAAGGUAGCGAAAUUCCUUGUCGGGUAAGUUCCGACCCGCACGAAAGGCGUAAUGAUUUGAGCGCUGUCUCGACAAUGCAUCCGGUGAAAUUGAAGUACCAGUGAGGAUGCUGGUUACCCGCGCCAGGACGGAAAGACCCCAUGGAGCUUUACUCCAGUUUGGUACUGGGGUCCGGCAGUGCAUGUACAGGAUAGGUGGGAGGCUUUGAACCUGGAACGCCAGUUUCAGGGGAGCCGAUGUUGGGAUACCACCCUUGUGCUGCUGGGCUUCAAACCAGCGGCCUUUAUCAGACCGGGGGACAAUGCCAGACGGGGAGUUUGACUGGGGCGGUCGCCUCCGAAAGGGUAUCGGAGGCGCUCAAAGGUUCCCUCAGAAUGGUCGGAAACCAUUCGAAGAGUGCAAAGGCAGAAGGGAGCUUGACUGCGACACCGACGGGUGGAGCAGGUACGAAAGUAGGGCUUAGUGAUCCGGUGGUAUUAAGUGGGAAUGCCAUCGCUCAACGGAUAAAAGCUACCCUGGGAUAACAGGCUUAUCACUCCCAAGAGUUCACAUCGACGGAGUGGUUUGGCACCUUGAUGUCGGCUCAUCGCAUCCUGGGGCUGUAGUAGGUCCCAAGGGUUGGGCUGUUCGCCCAUUAAAGCGGUACGCGAGCUGGGUUCAGAACGUCGUGAGACAGUUCGGUCCCUAUCCGGCGUGGGCGUAGGAUAUUUGAGAGGAGCUGUCCUUAGUACGAGAGGACCGGGAUGGACUGACCUCUGGUGUACCGGUUGAACCGCCAGGUUCACGGCCGGGUAGCCAAGUCGGGAAGGGAUAAACGCUGAAGGCAUCUAAGCGUGAAGCCCCCCUCAAGAUGAGAUAUCCCAUUCGAAAGAAGUAAGACCCCUUGAAGACGACGAGGUAGAUAGGGCAGGGGUGGAAGUGCCGUAAGGCAUGGAGCUGACUGUUACUAAUCGGUCGAGGGCUUGACC
rnacentral:rRNA from 1 species